AGUGUGCACAUCUAAUCCAAACUAUCAUUCACAAUUUCAAAUUCAUAGAGAAAGAAAGUAACCAAAAUUAGGGGAAAAACUCCAACAAUAACAAUGAUACUACAUGCUCAACUCAAACUGGUGCAACAUCUUUUUUUUUUCUUUCUUUCUUUUUUCUCUUUCAGCAGCACCCUUCUUUUUUUUUUUAUAUCCCCAAUCAACAUGCAAUCAUCAUCUACAAAAUAUCCCCACAAAUCGUCUCCCAAACCCAAUCUAAAUUCACUGCCACUGUUUGGCCAAACGGAUCACAGAUCCUUAUCAUCUAGCACAAGACAGCAGUUUGGGCAAACGGCACAUAGAAACACAACUUAACUUUCUCUAGUAAUUAAUGGAAUGAAGUUCAAAAUUAGACAUGCAUCACUGGGCCAAAGA
rnacentral:lncRNA from 1 species